ACCGUGGUCAGAGCCGUUGCUUGGCCGGGACCAUUGGGCUCUGGCCUCGCGGCGGCUGUGACUUCGGCCAGUAAGGGGAGUAGCGCCCCCUCGGCCCCAGCUUGACUUGCGUUUGACCUCGGCUCUGAUUUGAUUGUCGGAUGGAUUUUCUGCAAGAUUGGCCCCGCAGGGGGCUGGCGGUGGCCUGGGUUCCUUGGGCCCGCGUCCUGCGGCGGCCCUGACCUCCGCCAGCAAGGGGAGUAGCGCCCCCUCGGCCCCAGCUUGACUCAUGCUCGAUUACAACCGGACUCGACCCUGGAUUGAUAGACGACAAGUCAGACCUUUCUUGGUUUCUUUUUUUCCCUUUGUGUCUGAUGAGUGUCUUUUUUGCGCCCGGUUCCGCUCCUUCCGGGUGUUUCUCCUCACUGCCAGCUUAUACUGCCUUGCCGUCUUCUCACGUGGUUUGCACUAAGUUUUUGCACUUGUCUGUUGCCCAGCUUUCUUGCGAGCAUUUUCAUUGGUUGCCUUUUCUGCAUUCUCACGCACCGCACGGACACACUCGGGUGAAGUGGAAUAGCGCCCCCCCCCCCCCUCAGCCCUAGAUACACAUAUGUGUAAUCUUGACCUUGCCCACAUUUGCUGGAUUUGAUGUUUGCACAAUGCCACUGCCAGUCGGCCGCGUUGCCGUCUUCUCACGCGAAUUUCUCCUGGCUGGUUUGCACUCAUUUGGUUGCCUACCUCAUCGGUUUCGCACGCUUCCCAGUUUUUUUUUAACACUUGCUCAUCUUCUCUGUGCACGAUUCCAUUGCAUAAUGCGAUUCCAGUCUCUAAUCGUGCCAUCUUCUCACGCGAAUUGCUCUUGGUCGUCUUGUACCCGUUUGUUGCCCAUAUUUCUUUUGCGGUCACUGGCAUUGGCUGCGUUUUCAGUCUUCUUGCGCUGUACCGGUCUUGCAGGCUGCUUGCCUCACCGGUUCCGCACGCUUCCCCAGUUUUCUUUUGUUUUUUUUUUACACUUGCUUAUCUUCCUUGUGCACGAUUCCAUUGCCAGUUUGCUGCAUUGCACUCUUUUCACGUGAAUUGCUCUUGGUUGUUUUGUACCUGUCUGUUGCCUUUUUUGCGGAUACUCGCGUUGAUUGCGUUUUCAGUUUUCCUACGCUGUACCGGUCUUGCAGGC